CCCAGCCCUGGAUCCCCAGGUCCUCCCACUUGGUGAUCAGGACUGAACACAGGCAACGCAACAUGGAGCUUACCAUGUGUUGGGUUUUCCUGUUUGCAACUUUGAAAGGUGUCCAGUGUGAGGUGCAGCUCGUGGAGUCCGGGGGAGGCUUGGUGCCACCUGGAGGGUCCCUGAAACUCUCCUGCUUGGCCUCAGGAUUCACCUUCAGUAACUAUGGCAUGAACUGGGUCCGCCAGGCUCCAGGAAAGGGGCUAGAGUGGAUCUCCUACAUCAAUAGUGAUAGUAGUUACAUAAGCUACGCAGACUCCGUAAAGGGCCGAUUCACCACCUCCAGAGACAACAACAAGAACACGCUGUAUCUGCAAAUGAGCAGCCUGAGAACCGAGGACACGGCCGUGUAUUACUGUGCAAGAGACACA